UACGUAGGUGUCGAGCGUUGUCCGGAUUUAUUGGGCGUAAAGAGCCCGCAGGCGGCUUGUCAAGUUCGAGGUGAAAUCUCCCGGCUCAACUGGGAGGGUGCCUCGAAAACUGGCAGGCUUGAGGCAGGGAGAGGGAUGUGGAAUUCCCGGUGUAGUGGUGAAAUGCGUAGAUAUCGGGAGGAACACCAGUGGCGAAGGCGGCAUCCUGGCCCUGUCCUGACGCUCAGGGGCGAAAGCGUGGGUAGCAAACCGGAUUAGAUACCCGGGUAGUCCACGCCGUAAACGAUGAGUACUAGGUGUAGGGGGUAUCGACCCCCUCUGUGCCGAAGCUAACGCGAUAAGUACUCCGCCUGGGGACUACGGCCGCAAGGCUAAAACUCAAAGGAAUUGACGGGGGCCCGCACAAGCAGCGGAGCGUGUGGUUUAAUUCGAUGAUACGCGAAGAACCUCACCCAGGUUUGACAUGCAUGUGGUACCAAUGUGAAAGCUGAGGGACCCUUCGGGGAGCAUGCACAGGUGUUGCACGGCCGUCGUCAGCUCGUGCCGUGAGGUGUUGGGUUAAGUCCCGCAACGAGCGCAACCCUUGUCAUUAGUUGCUACGAAAGGGCACUCUAAUGAGACUGCCGGUGACAAACCGGAGGAAGGUGGGGAUGACGUCAGGUCAUCAUGGCCCUUAUGGGUAGGGCUACACACGUCAUACAAUGGCCGGUACAGAGGGCUGCCAACCCGCGAGGGGGAGCUAAUCCCAGAAAACCGGUCGUAGUCCGGAUCGCAGUCUGCAACUCGACUGCGUGAAGUCGGAAUCGCUAGUAAUCGCGGAUCAGCUUGCCGCGGUGAAUACGUUCCCGGGUC
rnacentral:rRNA from 1 species